UAAACGACUCUCGGCAACGGAUAUCUCGGCUCACGCAUCGAUGAAGAACGUAGCAAAAUGCGAUACUUGGUGUGAAUUGCAGAAUCCCGUGAACCAUCGAGUUUUUGAACGCAAGUUGCGCCCAAAGCCAUUCGGCYGAGGGCACGUCUGCCUGGGCGUCACGC
rnacentral:rRNA from 1 species